UACGAAGGGUGCAAGCGUUGCUCGGAAUUAUUGGGCGUAAAGGGUAGGUAGGUGGUAGUACAAGUCUGGGGUGAAAUCCCUGAGCUCAACUCAGGACGUGCCUUGGAAACUUUACUACUAGAGUACUGGAGAGGUUCGUGGAAUUCCCGGUGUAGCGGUGAAAUGCGUAGAGAUCGGGAGGAACACCAGAGGCGAAGGCGGCGAACUGGACAGUAACUGACACUCAACUACGAAAGCGUGGGUAGCAAACAGG
rnacentral:rRNA from 1 species